GCUGGGCAUGGUGGCCCAUGCCUGUAAUCCCAGAAGCUUGGGAGGCCGAGGCAGGAGGAUUGUGAGUUCAAAGCCAGCCUCAG
rnacentral:sRNA from 1 species